UACGUAGGGUGCAAGCGUUGCUCGGAAUCAUUGGGCGUAAAGAGCGUGUAGGUGGCUAGAUAAGUCGGAUGUGAAAUCCCUCGGCUCAACCGAGGAAGUGCAUUCGAAACUAUUUAGCUCGAGGAUGGCAGAGGAAGGUGGAAUUCCUAGUGUAGAGGUGAAAUUCGUAGAUAUUAGGAGGAAUACCGGUGGCGAAGGCGGCCUUCUGGACCAUUCCUGACACUGAGACGCGAAAGCGUGGGUAGCAAACAGG
rnacentral:rRNA from 1 species